UCGGCGCGCGCAGCACCGACUGUCCGCCAUGUUGGAAGUAUCGAAGUAUUUGAUACAUUCGAUAUUAUUCGAUACUUUCGUAACAAGAUGACGCAGUUUAGUCUGGUCAGUGAACUGUGCGGAUCGUGUCGAAUCGCGGGGGAGGAAAAUGUAAAGAAUUAGUAAUUUUUCAGCGUAUUUUUUCGUUUUUCGUGGUUAAUUAACAAUUUUAUAACCGCGCGCAAUGCGGUUAGUGGUAUCAGUGUUAAAAUAAGUUCGAGUUUGCUUCAAAUCACGCGAAAAUAAAUUCAACGUGACUGUUCAAGGGCGUGGCCAAUUUCUCUUCCGAACGAUCUUAGAAUCGGUUUUAUUCCGAGUAUAAUUUUCGGUCGAAUUAAUUAUUAUUUUCUCGUUUUUAUCGUUCAUAUCGGUAUUUGUGCUUCUGAAGACCACUACGCCAAAGGAUACAUGCUCCAUGAGCUUUCUGCAAAAACCGAAGGGACGUGAGACGGUUCCGGAUAUUCAACGACCGGGUAAAGGUGAGAGGUGAACGAUCGCAGCGUGGACGCAGAAUCCCACGAAUGGAACAUCUCGACAAAAGGGAGCCGGAAAAGGUUAGCAGAUUGUUCGCUUCCAGAUCGAAAACCGUUUCUGACGCGAUACCGUUCAGUUUACACGAUCUUCGGGAGAUAGUGGAAGACAAGAGGACGCGUCCAUUUACCAAACAGCUGAGUCAAGAUAAAGGAGGAUUAACCUGGAAAGGACGAGUAAAUCUACCCUGGCCUUUGAUUAUCUAGGAGAGUGCUAAGGUACAGUCAUUUAUCAAUUUAGAAAAAUUUAAAUUUCGAAAUUUGAAAAAUGGAACUCGCACGUGGAACUUACAUUUUCUUGGAAAAUAAAAAUUCCAAAAAAUCGAGAAAUUUUGGUAAGUUGCAAAUAAGAACGGCUACCGAAUGAAGGUUUCUAGCAGCUAACCAGUGGAAGGAUCGGGUGGAAUGUCCGAUCCCUGUAAAAUAAAAGGCUGCUGGUAACCGAUUUAAACGGGUCCUGACCAGCUGACACGACUGACGCGGAACCAUCGGUAAACCGGUUGGCGAAUAGCUUGUGGGAACAAAGACGGGUCUUAUUCGCGAUGUUGUGACGUCACACAGGCGAAGCGGA